rnacentral:rRNA from 1 species
UGCGUAGGCGGGCUAAUAAGUCAGUGGUGAAAUCUUCCGGCUCAACCGGGAACCUGCCAUUGAUACUGUUAGUCUUGAGUUCGGCUGAGGUAGGCGGAAUGUGUAAUGUAGCGGUGAAAUGCUUAGAUAUUACACAGAACACCAAUUGCGUAGGCAGCUUACUAGACCGACACUGACGCUGAGGCACGGAAGCGUGGGGAGCGAACAGGAUUAGAUACCCUGGUAGUCC